UCCGAUUUGUAGAACUCGAAUAUGGUCUUGCCCCUCGAUGUUCGGGUGUCUCUGGUCGCUGCUCUCUUGCCAUGCACUCUUUCUCCUCUUCAAACUCUGUCCUUAGGGUUUGCUUCAAUGGCGAUCGCCGCCGCGCAUCUUGUUAUUCUUUCUCUCCAAACGCCUCUUCGUUAAGUUCCAUAGACCCAAUCGUCGUUCCUCUGUGUUUCUUUUUCUUGCUUUUCUAUUUGAUUGUUUAUGAUUUAUGCGAGGUUUGCUAUAUCUUGUGUGCCAGACCAUCAUCUUUUCACUAAAACCCUAACCCUAACCCUAAUUGCAAGCAGAUGAUCAAACCCCACCUCACCAGCGAGGCUUGGGUGUACUUGUGCAGAGAGUUGAGCCCAUUUCUGAGUCCAGUAAUGUCGUGAAGGAGGGUUACAUGCAAAGGCUUGGCAGUGUUACAGAACCCCCCUAAUGGUUGUGCUUUGAAGUGUUUCUUGCAAAGGCUGUGGUCUGCUCUGUCCUUUAUUUCUUCUUCUGUUUUUUUUUCUUUUUUUUUUUUCCCUUUGUAAUUCAUUCUUCACUUACUGUUCCAUUUCAUGAGGUAAUUCUGCAUAUUCUGGGCUUAGUGCAUUAUCUUUACACAAGCUGUUCCAAGGUUCAUUGCAUUAUCAGACUGGUACUUUCACCAACUCUGUUUCUUUUCAGGUUGAAGGCUUAUUUUCAAGAUAAUUCAAGAGAACAACUUAUGGGUUUCAUGAAACCCUAUCUGCGGGCAAGUUCUUUUUUUGUUUUUUUACCACUGGUAUUAGUCACAUGAUCACAUCUGGAUUGCAGUAUUUAUUACAAGGGAAAAUAAAAAUCACAUAUAUAUUUAAAUUCUGAAAUUAUUGCAAUCGCAUCCCCCAAUUGUCUAAAAAUUUGAGCUAUGUACAAAUUUUAAUACUAGAUUAUUGGGAAAGGAGAGGGUAAUGUGUAUUCCUUUUAUCACCUUAUCUUUUCCCGUGUCUUACCAUGCCUCCGGUGGAGUUUGUAAAUUUUUUCUUCAAGAACCUACUGAAGCAAACACUUAGUGAGCGGUGAGCUUAAUUAAGUGUGUGCGCGCAAGCAAGUUUUGCAACACAGACCAAACUGUCCACACAUGCAUGGUUAUGUUCAUCUAGCUAGAAUGAUUGUUAACAGAUUUGGAAUUUUAAAAGAAAAUCACUUCAUUUUGCACCAUAUAGGCUAUAUACCAUCAAGAGUCGUAUAAACACACAAUAAAACAAGCACUAGCCUUACGGCCCUUACCCUGCCACCUAAACAAUUUUACCUUGGUGCAUGCGGUUUAGUGUGUAAUAUUUGAAAAGGUUUGUUUUGUUAUUUUACAUGUGUUACCAUUGCUUCAUCUAUGGUGUUCUGAGCUAAAAGGCUUGUUUUGUUAUUUUACAUGUAUUACCAUGGCUUCAUCUAUGGUGUUCUGAGCUUUCCUUUUUCCUUUUUCCUUUUUCCUUUUUCCUUGAUGCUUUUUUAGCUUCCAUAGGCAACCAAGCAAAGGUGUAGACUAAUGCUUUUUUAGAUUUUACUUUUUGCUACUUGUGAAGUGACUUGUCUUUUGGUCAGCUGAGAUCGAAGUGGUAUACGAAAACCCCAACUUGAAGAUAGCUGUGAGGACUAGAUUGGUAGUGUCACCAUAUGUAGCUCUUGUCUAAGUGAAUUGAAGAAACCAUUUGCUAACAUGUACUUUGUUGGGUAUGUAGUCAUUUUAUUCUUUUUGUUUUAGUUUUAUAUCAUGAUUUUAUUAGUGUUGGUCUUUUGUAAUUUUUGCUAGCAUAAUGAAUUUGUCGUGGCCAAAGAAACAGACUUUAUUAAAGGAAAUUUUAUGCAGAUGGUGAUUCUUGGUCACACUGGGAUGCUUUAGCGUUGAGCAUAUAAAUUGAAAUAUGUUGAGUUAUGCAGUUGGGCUAAUGGCCCAAUGAUUAAUUGUGAAUUAGUGACGGUCUUUACUGUUUGUAAUUAUUCAUAUAUUUAUAUGCAGAAUGAUGUAUGAAUGUU